UGGGGAAUCUUGCACAAUGGGGGAAACUNUGAUGCAGCGAUGCCGCGUGAGUGAAGAAGGCCUUUGGGUUGUAAAGCUCUUUCGUCGGGGAAGAAAAUGACUGUACCCGAAUAAGAAGGUCCGGCUAACUUCGUGCCAGCAGCCGCGGUAAUACGAAGGGACCUAGCGUAGUUCGGAAUUACUGGGCUUAAAGAGUUCGUAGGUGGUUAAAAAAGUUGGUGGUGAAAUCCCAGAGCUUAACUCUGGAACUGCCAUCAAAACUUUUUAGCUAGAGUAUGAUAGAGGAAAGCAGAAUUUCUAGUGUAGAGGUGAAAUUCGUAGAUAUUAGAAAGAAUACCAAUUGCGAAGGCAGCUUUCUGGAUCAUUACUGACACUGAGGAACGAAAGCAUGGGUAGCGAAGAGGAUUAGAUACCCUCGUAGUCCAUGCCGUAAACGAUGUGUGUUAGACGUUGGAAAUUUAUUUUCAGUGUCGCAGCGAAAGCAAUAAACACACCGCCUG
rnacentral:rRNA from 1 species